GGGCGCGUAACUCAGUUGGAUAGAGUAUCCGCCUUCUAAGCGGAUUGCCGCAGGUUCGAGCCCUGCCGCGCCUG
rnacentral:tRNA from 1 species